CAUGCCCAGCAAAUCAGCAAUGCCAACCCCAGAUUUUCCUCACACCUUCCCAACAUAAAUAUCAGUCGUUCAUCUCAAAUUAAAAUUUAAAAUUAAGGGUGUUGAUGAGAGUAAAACUGAGCAUGAAAUGACCGGUUACAGUGGCACAAUAACCCAUUUUAAAUCAAUGGUUAGAAUCCAAGAUGGAGAGCCAAUCUAACGGUGAGAAAUAAAGGGGAAAGAUCUGAUAUCUCAAACGGAUUCAAUCCACUCUUCAGUCUUCACUCUUCUUCAGUUUUCACUUCAGAGUCAGAGGUUAGGUCAUGGACAUGGCUUCCCAUUCACGCCUUCUCCUUCCCUUUUCACUCUUCCUCACCUCUUCAGUCUUCACUUCUUCAGUCUCACACUCUCAGUUCUUUACCUGCUCUCUCAAACUCUCACAAUCUCACACUCUAUAAAGUCUAAACCGUUUCCCCAAAUCCAAACUACUGCUUCUCCAAAUCCAAAUUCUAAAGAACAAACCCUAGCCGCCUCCAAUGCCGUUACCCAGUCCCCUCUCCGCCUCCAACGCCUAGCGCCACUGCCGCUGUCCACUCCUCUCUCCAUAGCUACCACCGGAGUCCUCACCCCGUGUACUCUUCACGGAGUCAGUAAGUUUUAUACAGGAUUGAAAGCUGACUCCAGUCUCCAAGUAUCAUUAUUUGCUCUCAAGUUUGAAACCCAUACACCCACGGUUUUCUUCAAGGAUUGAAAGCUGAAUCCAAGUAUCAUUAUUUGCCCUCAAGUUUGAAACCCAUACACCCACGG